AUGGAUAGCAGCAGCUGGAUCCAUGGAUAUGGCACCAACGGCGGCGCCGCCGCCGGUAACAGCGGCUUCAUGUGCGGUUACGCCGCCAGCUACGUCGUCCCUGAAGGGCUGCAGAGCAGGAAGGAGGAAGAGGAGCGCACACAGAUUCAGCACCACCUCAACCAGAUCAGCAUGCAGAUGAGCAUGGAGGACGAGCCAGGCGCGUACAUCGUCCCUGCCGUGGGCAUGCAGCAGUCUGUCCUAGACGAAGUCGAUUUCCUCCCCUCGCACCACGCCGGUGGCUGCAGCUUCCCCUCCUCGUCCUCCACCUGCUCGUUCCGUUCCGCCUCGCUCUCUUGCAGCCCGGAGAACUCGUCGGCGCACGCCCUCACGACGCCCGCCGCCGGCCUGCACUUCCCCGAGGUCUCCUCGCAUCUACCGCCGGUGGUGCUCCCAUGUGACGAUGACUACCACCAGUACGUCCUGAACUUCCACGACACGGCCGCAAUGGAGCCUAGCGUGGUGCCGGCAAGCGCGUUCAGCCGCUACGCGCGGCAGCUCGGCGCGAGGCGGAGGCCGAAGCCGGCAUGCGGGCAGAAGAUGUUCAAGAAAUCCAUGUCCGUCCUGGUCAAGAUGCAGACGGCGAUGAGGUACAGCCAUCAGCAGCAUCACUUCCAGCAAGCGUCGGCGGAGGCCGAGCUGUCGUCGGUGAACCAGCUGCAGCACAUGAUCUCCGAGCGCAAGCGCCGGGAGAAGCUCAACGACAGCUUCCAGGCUCUCAAGACCGUCCUUCCUCCCGGCUCCAAGAAAGACAAGACGUCGAUACUGAUCACCGCGAGGGAGUACGUGAACUCCCUCAAGUCCAAGGUCUGCGAUCUCGAGGAGAAGAACAAGGCGCUCCAGGCGCAGCUGGCCGAGUGUGCCCGCGCCGCCGGGGUCGAAGAAGACGACGCCGAGAAGGUCGAAAUCCAAAUAACCAGAGCGGCGGCGGAUCGGGAAGAUGGGACGACUACGAGCGAGGUUUGCACGGUGAAGAUAGCGGCGAGGCCGGCGCAUGGCAACACGAUGGACGUGGUGCUCAGGACGCUGCAGUGCCUCAAUGACCAGAUGGGGGAAGACGACGUCAGCCUGGUGGCCAUGAGCACCAGCGACGGCGACGGCGGCAACGGCCUCACCGGAGCAUUCCUGACGAUGCAGCUCAAAUCAGCGUCCGGCGCCAAGUGGGAGGAGGAGGCGGUCAGGGAAGCCGUGGCGAAGGCCGUCGCAGCCCGCACGGGCGCCGACCGCCGUGGCGACGCCGCCGGCCGGUCUUGGCACGCCGAAUGA
rnacentral:rRNA from 1 species